rnacentral:lncRNA from 1 species
AAAGGUGAAUGUUUUUCUUUUCAUCUCCAUGUUCCUGAUUAUUAAUUUUCUUCCUAUUUUCUUUAUGGUCUAUUUUUUUUCUUCUUUUUUCCUCCUUGUAAAGUUGAAUAAUAAUGGAGUUUCUGACUCCUAACUUUGUAGUACAAAUUGGUGAAUAAUCAGAGAUUUUUCAAUGUUACCUUUGGAGAACCAAGGAACUACCUUCAAAAAUCUUCCGCUACAGGCUUUAUAAGCAGAUCCGUUUUUCGCAGAGAUUUUGUUGAAAAGAAAUCAAAACAAAUACUGAAUGCAGAGCACCAAAAUAGGUCCAUGUACUUGACAGCUGAGAAGGUUUUGGUAAAUCUGGCAAAUUCUUCUUCACUUUUUUAAAAAUAUUAACUUGUCUAUGAUUAAUCCUGUAUGUGAUGCUCUAGCUUUUGUAAAUUUUUCAAAACUUGGGUAUUUUUUUGGAAAAUACAUUUAUUUUUACUAAAUCUUAACUAAACAUAAUUUAUUUUGCCGACCAAAAGAUGAUGGCAGUACACCUAAAAUGUCCACUAUUUGGCUUCACUGUUUCUGAGAAGUGGAUUGAAACUGCCUUAAAUCUCUGAGAUUUAAAAUCUCUGAAGAAGCUCUGAGACACACCUCCCUGAUGCAGAAACCCGAAGAAUAAAUUCAUGGAUGCCGAAUUUUCAUUACUUUUACCCUCUAUCCUGGAUUGGUCCUUUGGCACCCAUGGAAGCAUCACACUUAGAAUUAAGUGUCACGAUGCUGAGCAGUGCUCAGGAUGAAAACUGUGUAUUAGAACAAUUACGCCUCAGGGUGAAUGUGUAAGUAUAAUGAUACUGAAACUUGGCUUCUUUUCAAAAUAUACAAGUCUCUGACAGUUUGGUAUUGAAAAGCAAGUGAUUCACAUACAUAAAAAAUAGAAGCAGACCAAAAAUGUCAAGGUUUGACAGAGGGCAAAUCCAAAAUACUUCCAAUAAGAGGAAAAAGAGUUCAUUUUAAAAGCGUAAUUGCUGAGUGUCUUCUCA